AAUAAUCUCAGCAAUUAAAUUUGGAAUCACUUUCCGUUUAACCGAAGAAAUUCGAUCUUGAAAUAGAGGGCACGUUUCUACGGUUUCUACGCAUAACUUUCUAUUCUAUAUGCGUUGAACAAACAACUGAGAUAGACCGAACAGAAAGGGAUCGAACCAAAAAAGAAAAGCAGACCGAAGAGAAGGGAAGAGGAAGAGACCAUAUAGGCUAUGUUCUCUUCGACCCCGUGAAACCAUCUUGUUGUUGUCAUUUGUAAAUAAGUUAAAACCAAAUAUAUUUACCACCAAGAGCAAAACCCAGAGCUUUCUUAAGGCAGGUGGUUUGGUUUUGGUUUCUUCAAUUAUGCAAUUCUCUAGGUGGCGUAACCUCUUCCUACUCAAGAGUUCCUUGGUUCCAGCUUUCUUACCUGCAAAACAAACGGCUACUGUUGCUACAACCCAUGCCGCUUCAUUCCAUUCCACCCCUUUUACCUGUGAAAAAUGGAAGAGUAAAUGGAAUUUUGUCAGUCUUUUCCGUUUUCCUUGGUAUAUAAGUUUUUUUUUUUAUACGUUGAAUUCUAUGGGUGAGUUUGGGGGGAGGGUUCGGAUUUUUAUUUUAAUUGAAUAGCUUUGAAUAGGAUAUUCCCAAUUGCAAGUUCAUGAAUUUGUAUAAGAAUUAAGAAGGAAAAAAAACGAGUUUCAAUGUUUUCAUGAUUGGUUUAUGUUAAAAAUCUCUGCUUUGUGAUUUUUGAUUGAUCUGUUCUGCCAAUGGAGCAAAUCGCUUUAUUGUUAACUAGAUACCGUAUACUCGUUAUGUUUACUGUUUGUAAUGUUCAACAUUAUUCCCCAUAUUGUCUGGCCCUAUGUUUGAUCAAAGUAAGUUGUCUUUUGUGUGAACAAUUAUUUCUACAUCUUUCCCUCUCUGGACCAAGAACGGCUUAGAAUUGAGCUUUAGGCGUAUUAAAAUUUUGGUUUAGGAAUUAGGACAAAGUCCCUAUGUCUUUUAUUAUACAAGAAUGUUUGGCAAUUAACACUAUUUUUGCAGGAUGAAAGAAGCACUCGUCAAGCAACUAAGAGUUACUUAAGAUAUGCAAUGCGUCAAAAGCGAGCUGAAACAAAAAGAGCUUUGAGAAACCUUCUCUUCAAUACCGAUGCCUCAACUAUUUCAUUUCUGGCAAAUCAUUUUAUCUAGGAUAGUGCAUCUGAAUUAUUCUUUUCAGUGGAGCUAAAUAUUGGAUACUGUUCUUCUAAGCAAAAGUAUGAAGGCAACCAACCUACAUCUAAAGUUGGCUCAUAAACCACAUUUCUUGUUUUGGCAUUUUCACUCAUGUUUACAUUACAGAAGAAGUUGUAAUCGACUAAUAGCAAGCCAAGCUGGAAUGUUUCUUGGUCGUCAAAAUAAGUGCAUGCCUUGGAAUUAAUUUUAAUUUGUUCAUUAUUUGCAUUGCUGUAAUUAAAAUGUAAUCUAAAAUUUUAGUUUUAUUGUUUUAUACUACAUUCCUAUAAAAUAUCCAAAUAGGCUCUGAUUAUAGAAGAAGCCUAUGGUUUUAGUUAGGCAUUGAAAGAGUGAGGUCACAGCCUUUCAGAAAUGGCUAAUGACAGAUUUGAUCUCAUUCUGUUAACCCUAAUUUUCAUUUAUUUAAUCGGUAAUCUCAAGUGUAUGGAAUGAAUACCUUUAUCUUGCUUCUCCAUUACAUUA